rnacentral:misc_RNA from 1 species
GAUGAAGAACGUAGUGAAAUGCGAUAAGUAGUGUGAAUUGUAGAAUUCAGUGAAUCAUCGAAUCUUUGAACGCACAUUGCGCCCCUUGGUAUUCCAUGGGGCAUGCCUGUUCGAGCGUCAUUUGUACCCUCAAGCUUUGCUUGGUGUUGGGUGUUUGUCCCGCGUUGCGCGUGGACUCGCCUUAAAGCGAUUGGCAGCCGGCAUAUUGGCCUUGGAGCGCAGCACAUUUUGCGCUUCUAGUCAUGAAUGUUGGCGUCCAUUAAGCCUAUACAUUUGCUCUUGACCUCGGAUCAGGUAGGGAUACCCGCUGAACUUAAGCAUAUCAAUAAGCGGAGGA